rnacentral:rRNA from 1 species
UACGGAGGGUGCAAGCGUUACUCGGAAUCACUGGGCGUAAAGCGCGCGCAGGCGGCUAGAUAAGUUGGAAGUGAAAUCCUAUGGCUCAACCAUAGAACUGCUUCCAAAACUGUUUAGCUAGAGUCUGGGAGGGGAAGAUGGAAUUAGUAGUGUAGGGGUAAAAUCCGUAGAGAUUACUAGGAAUACCAAAAGCGAAGGCGAUCUUCUGGGACAGUACUGACGCUGAGGCGCGAAAGCGUGGGGAGCAAACAGGAUUAGAUACCCUGGUAGUCCACGCCCUAAACGAUGAAUGUUAGUCCUCGGGACUCUAGUAGUUUCGGUGAUGCAGUUAACACAUUAAACAUUCCGCCUGGGGAGUACGGUCGCAAGAUUAAAACUCAAAGGAAUAGACGGGGACCCGCACAAGUGGUGGAGCAUGUGGUUUAAUUCGAAGAUACGCGAAGAACCUUACCUAGCCUUGACAUAUUUUAGAACUCCGCAGAGAUGUAGAGGUGCCUUCGGGAGCUAAUAUACAGGUGCUGCACGGCUGUCGUCAGCUCGUGUCGUGAGAUGUUGGGUUAGGUCCCGCAACGAGCGCAACCCUCGUUCUUAGUUACUAACGGUUCGGCCGAGGACUCUAAGAAGACUGCCUUCGUAAGGAGGAGGAAGGUGAGGACGACGUCAAGUCAUCAUGGCCCUUACGGCUAGGGCAACACACGUGCUACAAUGGUUAGGACAAUGAGACGCAAUACCGCGAGGUGGAGCAAAUCUAUAAACCUAAUCUCAGUUCGGAUUGUAGUCUGCAACUCGACUACAUGAAGCUGGAAUCACUAGUAAUCGUAGAUCAGCUAUGCUACG